rnacentral:rRNA from 1 species
CCUACGGGAGGCAGCAGUGGGGAAUUUUGGACAAUGGGCGCAAGCCUGAUCCAGCCAUUCCGCGUGAGUGAAGAAGGCCUUCGGGUUGUAAAGCUCUUUCGCAAGGGAAGAAAACUUAGUCUCUAACAUAGACUGAGGUUGACGGUACCUUGAUAAGAAGCACCGGCUAACUACGUGCCAGCAGCCGCGGUAAUACGUAGGGUGCGAGCGUUAAUCGGAAUUACUGGGCGUAAAGCGUGCGCAGGCUGUUUUGUAAGUCAGAUGUGAAAUCCCUGAGCUCAACUUAGGAACUGCGUUUGAAACUACAAGACUAGAAUAUGUCAGAGGGGGGUAGAAUUCCACGUGUAGCAGUGAAAUGCGUAGAGAUGUGGAGGAAUACCAAUGGCGAAGGCAGCCCCCUGGGAUAAUAUUGACGCUCAUGCACGAAAGCGUUGGGGAGCAAACAGGAUUAGAUACCCUGGUAGUCCACGCCCUAAACGAUGUCUACUAGUUGUUGGUGGAGUAAAACUCCAUANAGUAGACGAGACACGACGNGAGAGACGACCGCGGAGGACGGUACGCGAGAGUAAACGUAACGUAACGAAGUAGUAGACGNGAGAGAGCGACGACGACGACGAGGAGGAGG